GACCGUGUAGCUCAGUUGGUAGAGCAUCGAUCUAGUAAUUCGAAGGUCGCGGGUUCGUAACCCAGCCGCGUUUA